CAAGUGGCAGAAGACUGAGGAGCUUGGCUCACCUUCAGUCUUGGGCUCAGAGAGAAGCAGAGUCCUGACCUCCUUGCCCCAACUGGCCACUCCGGGGCUGGGAUAAGAUGAGCCCUUGGAAGUAGUUCCUAUUCAGGGAGUUUUCUGGUUAGAACUGAUCCCAUCUCUAGAGGCCAAGUCAAAGAUAAAGGAUUUGAGGAAAGACAGAAACUGUCAGCCAUUUUUUUUGCUUAAUACGGAUCCAUCCUCAAGCAAACAAGUUUGGAAGCAGGGCCUGUGGUCUGGAGGCUGGCUCUGCGUCCCUUCUUGCUGGGUCUGAAUAAAGAGGGGAAGGAGCCUCUGAAGUCGCUUCCAGAAUGCCAUCGUUCUCCUCAGCAGAUGGUGGAGGAGAGAGGCUAAUUGAGAACUCCUGUAGCAUAUAAAACAAAAACCAGCCAAAGGAACCCGCAAGGUAAAUGACAUCAUUAUCAGGCAAGUAAAGGAAGCAGCAUCUGUCCCUGCUGUGGCUGGGAUGCUAGGAGUGGCUGCUCCCCAAGCCUUGAGGGGAAGACAUUCUCACCCAGCAGCACGGGAGCUGAUGUCUCCCCAAAUGCUCCUACCCACCUCCCCUAAGAGGAGAACAGCUUUGGAGGGCUGGUUAUACCCUGUCCCUCCCUGUCACCUCAGGACAGCUUUGUGUCCACUAAAGGAAGCUCUCCCUGUCUUCAUAAAAUUUCCACUUGGGAGUCUAUUUAUGAUCUUUCCUCUCAGACUUUCAAGUUUUCUUUCUUUUUUUUUUCUUCCAGAAAGCUAUCGUCUCUUCUUUGGGUCUUUUCCUUUGUCACACUUAACGCCUUAUACCCAAGAGUCUAUUAUUAGUUUGAACUAGAUGAAAUUGCCAUUUUAUACAUCAAAAACUGCUGACUAUUGGCGAUGUCAUCUGGUUCAACCUAACAUUAGGUUACAGAAGUAGCACCAUCUUCGGGCCCCUGGGACCACAAUCACUACAGUCACUUUGGGCAUCUGAUUCUGGGGUCCUGUCCCAGGUCUGAGGAGGGCACCCAGGAGCCUGCAUUUUUAACAAGAUCUCUGCUGACACAGUGGAAAGCAUAGUGGCCUGGGAAAGAGGACACACAGGUUUGAGGAGCAGUCCUGUGUCUGGCUGGCCGUGCAACCUUGAGCAAGUCACUUCAUGUCUCUA
rnacentral:lncRNA from 1 species